GAUGAACGCUAGCGAUAGGCUUAACACAUGCAAGUCGAGGGGCAGCAUGGUCUUAGCUUGCUAAGGCUGAUGGCGACCGGCGCACGGGUGCGUAACGCGUAUGCAACUUGCCUCACAGAGGGGGAUAACCCGGCGAAAGACGGAAUAAUACCGCGUACACACUAUGUUGGGCAUCCAAUGUAGAGGAACUGAAAUUCGCUGUGAGAUAGGCAUGCGUCCCAUUGGCUAGUUGGUGAGGUAACGGCUCACCAAGGCGACGAUGGGUAGGGGAACUGAGAGGUGGACACACCACACUGGUACCGCGACACGGACCAGAAUCCUACGGGAGACAGCAGUGAGGAAUAUUGGUCACUGGGCGAGAGCCUGAACCAGCCAAGUCGCGUGAAGGAUGCCUGGCUUAUGGAUUGUAAACUUCUUUUAUACGGGAAUAACAAGAGUAACGUGUGGCUCCAUGAAUGUACCGUAUGAAUAAGCCUCGGCUAACUACGUG
rnacentral:rRNA from 1 species